GACGUAGGGCGCGAGCGUUGUCCGGAUUUAUUGGGCGUAAAGAGCGUGUAGGCGGCCAGACAGGUCUGCUGUGAAAACUCGAGGCUCAACCUCGAGAUGUCGGCGGAAACCGUCUGGCUAGAGUCCGGAAGAGGAGAGUGGAAUUCCUGGUGUAGCGGUGAAAUGCGCAGAUAUCAGGAAGAACACCUAUGGCGAAGGCAGCUCUCUGGGACGGUACUGACGCUGAGACGCGAAAGCGUGGGGAGCGAACAGG
rnacentral:rRNA from 1 species